AUCGCCGGACUUCCGCCCUUUUCUGGGGAUACUGGGCGGGGUAUGUCAGAGUCGAACUGACUAAAACCUCCUGUCGCUCAACAACCAACGUCCAAACCUCGCAUGAGACAGAACUCAUGACAAGGCAAAGGGGGGAAAGUGAAGCGUUUAGUGUGAAGCACAUCUCCCCCAUCACCCUCCCCCUCGGGACGCCGGACUGGCGGUCGUCGGCGCCACGACCACCAGCCCUCUCGGUCGGCAGACUGUCCGAAGCCCGCCUAGAUGGCGCCGGUUAGAGUGGGUUACCCUACGGAAUACCCCGCUGGGCCAGAACCAGCGUGGGUCGAGGAUAGCCGGCCUUCCAUCACCCGGAUGCUCUUGCGUAAAACGCGUGCAGAGCAGUUUGCACGUCGUCUUCUUAGGCCCCCCUCGCCGGUCCCCAGACCGACAUGUGAGGGGGAUGCUAAGCCUCUCAUGAUAUAAAAUAACAAGGAUAUGAAGGUGACGAAUCUUCAAGAGAAAAGUAUUAGUGAAAUUGAUUGUUGAAUUUAAAAAAAAAGCAAUCAUGUUUUCAUCUCUAUUUAAUUCGUUUUGAGUUUCAGCCGAGUGAAUUAUGAAUUUUAAAGUUACAAAUUGUUGUAAUUUUUUUUUUCAAUUAUCUUUCAAUAUCAAACCUACUUUUGACCAAACUAUUACACAAUAAAUGAUGACAGAUGUUUUAGAGCUCAUGUAUUAAAACAGAUUCGAACUCAUACAUUUGGAAGCACAACAGCUUUUCCAUACAGUACCUGAAGGGUUUUUAUGAUUUUACUACAAAAUUCUUGUCGAGUAAGUUGCUGAACAACACGAGUAAAGCAUGUUUUUUAAACCGGCUGUAAAGAAUUUGAAGAAUGCACUUAAUUGACAGUUAAAUGUUAAAAAAAGACUGAAGCAACAAAAUAAAACUGGUCACAAUACCAAACGCUGGCCAAAUUUGCAUUCAUGUCAAAAUCGCUGUGUUGGAUUGCAAAGAACGACAUUUUACGGAUGAGAUGAUCAAGAAAAGACAGUGGUUGUUUUGUUGGUUAUGUUCAUAAUUUUCAUGUCAAAUGUUCAUUUUGUCCACGAGAGUGCUUAAUUUCCAUAAUAUUAAUUUAUGUAUAUCUAUUGUUAUAUACAUAUCUAUAAUAUGUAACAACUACUUAAAUGAAAUAGCGGGAGUACACAAGAUACUAUAUUCGGACUAAUAUUUCAAUUAGAAUAUGUUAUUAUUUUAUGAAAGAAGAAUUUUGAUUAGCUAAGCUUUUUAGGAUACUUUGAGUACGUAAAUAAAUAAAAAUUCAGACGUGUCGUCGAAGAUACUACUGCAUUGCAGUAGCGGUCACUAUCCUUGAGAGUUCGACGAGCGAUCUACCCCAAAGAUAGACACAGUCCACUAAUUCAAAUUAUCUUAGGUUAAGCCCGUGAGCUCACCUACCCGUCCGGUCGCAGCUGGAAUAUCCCAUUAGGCUUCCAGCGAACAAGUAGAGGAAAAAAUUGCUGUCAUGAUUCUGCUAUCUAUUUGGCUAUGUUAAUAAAAUCAACAUAAUGAUAUGAGUAAACUAAAUUUUCAAAAGUGAUAAAGAUAAAAUUGUGGUAUAAUUUCACACUAUUAAAAAACCUUUUAGGGCCUAAUGUAAGUCACUGUAGAACGUUAAUUCGUGAAUAAUGUCACAAAAAGAACACUGGGAAUGUCUUGUGGAAAAGUAUGAAAUAUGAAAAAAAUUCGAUGAUCAUAAAUAUUUUAACGAUCAUAAAUCUUUUACAGUCUAGUACAGUCUAAUUAGUAAGAUUUUGAAAUAAAAUAAAUACUAUCGUCCGUCCUAAAGCUGUAAAAUAUUCGAAUUAUCGAAUCAUAAUUGUUCGUAAUUAAUACACAAUACUUAAUAAAAUAAAGUCUGGUUCGAGAUUAA